GUGGGCGUAGCUCAGUCGGUUAGAGCGCCAGGUUGUGGCCCUGGAGGUCGCGGGUUCGAUUCCCGUCGCUCACC
rnacentral:tRNA from 2 species